CUUCAUAAAAUAUAUUUACAUAUCUAAGACAACAACCACCUAAAUGCAAAUAAGAAAUUAAUCAAAACUUUAAUAUAUAUAAUAAAAAAAUAUUACAGUUGAAUUCAGAGAUGCAAUUCAAUUUAUCCAAAUGAUAACUAAAUCGACUAUAAAAACAAAAACAAAAACAAUUAGAUAUAAGAUAUAUAAAAAUCAUAUAUAUAAUUAAAGUAAUAUAAUAUUAUUAAUAUAAAUGAUGUAUACAAAUUAUAAAUUAAUUUAAAAUUAAAAAUAAAUAGCAAUCAAUUAUUAUAUUUUAUUUAUUUUAUAAAUAUUUAUAACCGCGCAUGAUCACGUAAAAUCACUCUAGUAAUAGUAUAGAUAGUUCGCUGUAGUAUUAGUAUUUUAACGUUGUUAGUGAGGUCCAUUACAUUACUAGAUGUAGUGAUCGGCUUAUAGGCCCAUCAAAAAUAAUAUUACGGGUGGUGCAUAAACCGCUAGAGUAAAAUGCUCAUAAUAUAUUAUCACAAUGAAUACUUGUCUCACAACAAAUGCUAUUCGUAUGUCGACAUUUGAAUUCUCUUUUUAAGCAAAAACUAGGGCAAUGUACAGAUAGAAACAAAGCUACGUAGCUGAUUGUAAAUAUUUAAUCAGAAAUACAUUAUUGCGUGUUUUUAUUUUGUUAUAUAUUUAUUUUCUUUUGUUUAUUUAAAGCAAAAAUGAAUAGUCUUCGUAUCAUUCUUUUCACCAAAAGAAAGUGUUUCUUACUAAAAUUAAACUACUAAUAAAUCAGAAGACAAACGUGAUACAAUUAUGUAAAUGUUUGGGUAAGAAACAUGCUUAAUAUAAAGUUGAUUAAGAACUAAUCAUCGGGUACUGCCAAUUCUACCGGGUUCAGUUCUCGGAUUAACUGUGGUUCCAAUUUUGUGGCAAGAGUUUGUGCUGAGUUUGGUGUAGCCUAUGGUCUUGUUGUUGUUUUGCUUGUAGAUGUUGUUUGCCUUGUUUAGCUUAGAUUAAGUUGAUGUUUAGCUUAAUUUCUUGCAUCUUCUGCUUCUUGUAAACUCUGUAUUUCUGUCUAAAACUUGAAAAUGGUAAUAAAGCUUUAACAUUGUUACCAAAAAAAAAAAGUUGAUUAAGAAUUUGUUUCUUUUUAAAUAAAUUUUCGUCAAAUUUUGUUAAUUAUAAGAUUAUGUAUUUUUAUAUAAGAUAAUCUAAUAUAUUUCCAAUUUUGUUGAUUUUUAUGUUUUAAUGAUAUACGUUAUGGUGGACAUGAUAUUAAAAGAAGUAUGUAUACUCUUAGAAAUUGUGUUAUGAGCUUUAAAAUAUCAAAAUGUAAUUUAUUUGUUAUUCGUAAUAUUUAUUAUAUUAAUUUUUAAAUUCUUAAAUGUAACAUCUAUACUUGAAAAAUAAACCAGGCUUUUUAAUGGAUUUUGAAAAAUAUUUUAUAUACAAAAUAAGCCUAGUGGAUAAGGGAUGGGUUCAUUUGGGUCAAGAUGGAGUUUUUGAUACUGGCAACAUGAGCAUAUCGAUUUAAUUAAAAUGCUUCGAUGAAGAAAAAAAACAAAUGUUUCUCUGCAAAACUUAAAAAGACGAUUGAGAGUUCUAGAUCCAUCGACAACCCACCUUCUCUGAUCUCUACUAAUAAUGUUUGCAUGUCGAAUCUGAAGCCAUCUGUGUUAAAAACGAUUAGUCGGAGAAGGUUAUCUAUUGGCUUCACCUUUCCGAUAUACAACAAAGUCAUAAGAAUUUUCAGAAGACAACAAAAUGGUAAAUCUAAUCUUAUGUCUUCCUUUUUGAUUAAUAGUUAACCGUCAAAUCUGAUUUUUUUUCAAAAAUUAACUAUUGUGAUUUAUUUUUCUCUCAUUUAUUUUUGAUGUGAAAUCCUAUGAGAUUAUAACUAUUCGAAUUGUUCAAAUAAUAACUGAAGCACUGAAAAGCCUUGAGAAAUUGAGAAAAGCUCUAGAAAAAACAUCCAAAUGAUGUUCCACGAUCGAAAGACUUAAAUAUACCAAACUCUAGAGGUUUGUAUUCAAGAAUCUAUUUACUUUUUUAAAAAUUCUUUAUUUUAAAUUAUCUUUUUAUUUUAAAUUUUUUGUCUGAAAGAAAAUAUUAGUAUGUUGUUUAACGGUUUGUUUUGUUAUUAUACUUACCAUCCUUUAUUUGUCUUCGAGAUUAUUGAUUAUCAAGAUGCUUUGGAUUGGUUGAACAUCCAUUCUGAUUGGCUUUAAAAACACAUGAGCUUACUCGAAACUGAGCCUAAUUUGUUUGAGUUUAAUUUUUUCUCGUUGAGAUUCUGCUUUAAUAGUAUAGAUGUCUACACUAGAAUUAAUAGUUGUAACUAGGAGAGGACAUAAUAUCCAGUUCUAAAAUCCGAACCCGAACCCGAAUACCGAUAAAAAAUAUCCGACCAUGUAUUGAACUAGAGAAAUUUGAAUAUCCGAUGAAUAUCCAAAAUAACCAAAUAUAUAUAUAUAUAUAUAUAUAUAUAUAAACUGUACUACUGUACAUAGACCCCAUAAAUUAGGGUUUAAAAAAAAAGAUGACUCACUGAUAAUAUGUUAAUUAAAAUGAUUAUGUGACUUGUUGGAGUUGGAGCACCAAAAGAAACAGAUUCAUGGUACCCUGGAAGGCUACGAUGGACUAAUGGGAGCAAGGACCACGAGAGCGAGUCAGUCGCCACUACACUCAGAGAUAGAGGCCCUUAUAUAGGCAAUGGAAUGUAUGAGGAAUCUUAGACAAACAUGGGUUACUUUUGCAACGGAUAGUGCUCAAUUGGUGAAGAUGGUGUCGGAACCUAGAAGAGUGACCAGCCUUUGCAAGCUAUUUGGAAGACAUAAAAGUUUUAAAGAGGAGUUUCAACAGCUCAGAGAUCAUUCAUAUACCACGGACACAGAACUCAAAGGCGGACAGUCUCGCACGCAGUGCAAGAAAGCAACCGUCGUUUGUCGUCCAUAUGGAUGCAGAGCUACCGGGAUGGUUCACAGAGUCUACAUGAAUCUGCUUUGUUUGCUGACAAAAAAAAAAAGAUACAGAUUCAUGUUCCUUCUUCCAAACAUAAAAUUUGCAGGGAACAACUAAAGAAUGGCAAUUAGUUACUUUAACUGAAA